UUCUUAUCCAGAGCAGGCUGAGGGACUGGCCCGAUGACGCCCGGCAACCGACUGUCAAGAGCAUGCGGCUCUUGCGGCACGGUGCUAACUCCUGCAGGAAUGUUUCCUGAGAGAUGAGAG
rnacentral:ncRNA from 2 species